CGAUAUCUUUAGGGGUGCCCAUACGGGCUGAGAUCAUACCCUUUGAACCUGAACAGGUUAGCACCUGCGGAGGGACGAAGAUUUAUUUAUAGA
rnacentral:ncRNA from 2 species